AAAGAACUCUCUGGUGGUGACAUCAUGGCUGCUCCUUCGUCAGAUAAACUUUUCUCAUGCCACUGUGCUUCAGCUCUGUAAUGUCAUACAUUUUUAUCCAUAUAUAUGUCAAUAUAUGUAGUAACUCUGGAUAUUUUUCAAGACUCGGUUGUUAAGAUGAGGGUCUCAGCUCUAUGGAUUCUACUUUUGUGUACCCUUGCAGACUUUUGUUUGAGCUGUUUUACAUGUUUUGUAGAACCAUAUGAUAUUUCUUUAAUAUGUGAUGCCUAUUUUACACAGAAUCAUCGAGACUGUGUUUUAAUAGCUGAAAGAAGCAUCGAUAACAAUCAGAAAGUAUUGGAAGCUGCCAGAGUUGGGCCAGGCUAUGAAAAUCAGCUGAAAGACCUCAUGAAUGCAGAGAUCUCACCCUACCUGCAAAAGUUUGAUGGGAACUUGAAAGACAACAUUUACUAUGAAAACCUGUUCCAAAGUAUUGCUGACAAUUUCACCGCAGAAGCUUCCAAACUGCCCAGAGCACCUGGAUGCUUUCCCCCAUGUGGUUUCCAGGCAUAUGGUGCUGGCUACAACUGCAUCAAAUGUCAGUACGACACCUGUGAAUACCCCAUUGACUGCCCAAGUGAGACACAAAGCCUGUCUACAGUCAUGUCAUUUCAACUGUCUAUUUAACCCUGUGUUAUCUUUAAGAUGAUUCAUUUCUAUAUUGUUCUCACUUUCAAAUCCUUACCUGCAUGGACUAAUACUAGAUCGUAACUUCUAGAACAUUGAAUAGGUGCAGUAAAUCAAACAGAAGUCCAGAAGCUCUGUGAAAGAGCUUGGUAAUGAAACCCUAUAGAGAAACUCCCAAGGUGUUCUUUACCACCUUGGCUUCUAUAUUGCAAUACUACUUUCAGACACAUAUCCUUAUUCGCUUUCCAUCCAAUACACAAUACUUGAAAAGUAUCUUAAUACAGCUUUCUGGGGCUACCACAAGGUGUAGAGCAGGCUAGGUUUAGUCACGAUUGUUCUCUUGAGGAAAUGGCAGCACAUAUGAGUGAGUCCUUUGUUUUGGCAGUCACAAGUCUAACAGUCAGUGAAAAGAAAAGGGUUGAGAUGCGUUGUGAUGCCCCUUUUCCCCUGGCAAGUGAUGUGGAAGUUGCCUGGAAAUAUGCUGAAGAGGUAAAAAAGAACAUUGUCACAUUAUUCCUAUGAAGGGGUG
rnacentral:lncRNA from 1 species